ensembl:rRNA 5S_rRNA 5S ribosomal RNA
GCCAGCAGCCAUAUCACCCUACAACUCACAACUGGCAACCCACUGAAGCUAAGCAGGUGUGAGCCUGGUCAGUACCUGGAUGGGAGUCCUUCUGGGAAAAACUAAGGUUGCUGCUGGAA